ACUCUUGACAUCCAUAGAACUUUCCAGAGAUGGAUUGGUGCCUUCGGGAACUAUGAGACAGGUGCUGCAUGGCUGUCGUCAGCUCGUGUUGUGAAAUGUUGGGUUAAGUCCCGCAACGAGCGCAACCCUUAUCCUUGUUUGCCAGCACUUCGGGUGGGAACUCCAGGGAGACUGCCGGUGAUAAACCGGAGGAAGGUGGGGACGACGUCAAGUCAUCAUGGCCCUUACGAGUAGGGCUACACACGUGCUACAAUGGCGCAUACAGAGGGCGGCCAACUUGCGAAAGUGAGCGAAUCCCAAAAAGUGCGUCGUAGUCCGGAUUGGAGUCUGCAACUCGACUCCAUGAAGUCGGAAUCGCUAAUAAUCGUGGAUCAGAAUGCCACGGUGAAUACGUUCCCGGGCCUUGUACACACCGCCCGUCACACCAUGGGAGUGGAUUGCACCAGAAGUAGUUAGUCUAACCUUCGGGGGGACGAUUACCACGGUGUGGUCAUGACUGGGGUGAAGUCGUAACAGGUAACCAGGGCGAUUCCAGCAC
rnacentral:rRNA from 1 species